UACGUAGGGUCCGAGCGUUGUCCGGAAUUAUUGGGCGUAAAGGGCUCGUAGGCGGUUUGUUGCGUCGGGAGUGAAAACUUCGAGCUUAACUCGGAGCUUGCUUUCGAUACGGGCAGACUUGAGGCAUUCAGGGGAGAACGGAAUUUCUGGUGUAGCGGUGAAAUGCGCAGAUAUCAGAAGGAACACCGGCGGCGAAGGCGGUUCUCUGGGAAUGUUCUGACGCUGAGGAGCGAAAGCGUGGGGAGCGAACAGG
rnacentral:rRNA from 1 species